GUCCAAGCUCUUCAAGAUAUACAAUUGGAUUCAUCUUUACUAAAAGAGCUCAAGUCAAUGGGUUAUGGAUUAAAUUGUCGGAAGAAAAUGGAAGCUCAGUCUAAUCAGACGGCAAUAGAGAGAGUGGUUUCAGGGAGAGCUCUGCAGAUGGCAAGCUCAUUUCCAUGCCAAGUCUGUGUGGUGGGUUUUCUCUGGGGAGUGUGUCUCGCCACUCUGUUUUUGGCUGCUCUCACUUCUUUUGGAGCAUUUGGGUUCAGCAGAGUCUCAUUGUCUCCAAUUUCAAUGGGGAUUCCUCAGGGGAAUUCAAGCUCAAACAUAAUCAAUAUCUUCGCGAGGUCAGAUCGAGAUUUUGAUCUGAAAAGGCCACCGGGAAAUGUCGAUUCAGUGCAAAGUGAAGAACAACAUCAAGAUAGAGAGAGAGCCUCUUUGCUUUAUUCAGCUUGGAGUGCUUUACUGAAAGAACCCACGGAUGGAAGCGAGGAAUUGCGUAAAUUAGGACUAAGCAGAUCCAUGGUACCAUCUGCUCCGCAUUUGGAAGACUGCAAGUCACACGCUGGAGUAAAUAAGCGACUCGACAGCUACGUUAAGAAUGAAAUAUUCCCUCCAUGGACUGGUUGGAAAGGGAUAUUGAAAAUGCACUCGGCAUCAAUAACUGAUGAGCAACCGGAGAAUCUCAGGCGCCAAGAAAUAUCUGAAGGUUCUUCUCCUCCUUGGAUCACUGGUUCGGAUCUAGAAAACUAUCCUCUCACGAGAAAAGUUCAAAGCGACCUGUGGAUCCAUCAGCAUCCUUCGAACUGCAGCGACCCUAGAGUGAGAUUCCUUGUGGCGGACUGGGAGAGAUCGCCUGGGUUUGGUAUGGAGCUCAAAUUGCAGCAAUGUGCGGGCUUCUUGCCAUUGCUCUCUGUGAGAAACGGGUCCUCGUCACUAACUACUAUAACAGAGCUGACCACAACGGUUGUAAGGGAUCAGCGCGCUCGAGCUGGUCAUGCUACUUCCUCCCUGAAACAUCCCAGGAAUGCCGAGACCGCGCGCUUGAGCUGAUCAGGAGUCACGAUGCGUGGGAAAGUGGAAUUAUCACUGCGAAACAAAAUUACAGCACGAAGCAAAUAUGGCACGGCAAAAUUCCCAACUUUUGGGGGGAUCCUUGGACUUACCUGAAGCCAACGACGGAGAUAAAUGGAAGGUUAAUUUCACGUCACCGCGAAACGGACAUAAGAUGGUGGCGAGCGCAGGGGGUGCGUUACUUGACGAGGUUUCAAACGAAGUACACAUGCGGCUUGAUGAAUGCGGCACGGCAUGCUGCUUUUGGAGCGGAAGCUGCAAAGAUUGUCCUCCCAGGUCUACCCGAAAAAUGGCCACAGGAAGCUGCGGAGAAGCCUGCGUCGGACAUCGAAAGGCUCGUUUGGUCCGAUCGAAAACCGUGGGUUCCUCGGCCACUUCUGAGUAUGCACGUGAGGAUGGGCGACAAGGCUGGCGAAAUGAAGGUGGUCGGAUUCGAAGAGUACAUCCGCCUCGCCGACCGCAUGAGGAUGCGGUUUCCUCACCUUCACAGCAUAUGGCUUUCCACAGAGAUGCAGGAAGUCGUCGAUAAGUCGAGAUCAUAUGCGAGCUGGAACUUCUACAACACCGAUGUGAGGCGACAAAUGGGCAACACUUCGAUGGCUGAAUAUGAGGCGAGCCUCGGGAGAGAGACGAGCACGAACUACCCGCUCGUGAAUUUCCUGAUGGCGUCGGACGCCGACUUUUUCAUCGGGGCGCUGGGUUCGAACUGGUGCUUCCUCAUAGACGGCAUGCGAAACACCGGCGGGAAGGUAAUGGCUGGGUACUUGAGCGUCAACAAAGACCGAUUUUGGUAGGGUAUCAAAGGCAUGUAUAGGUCGUGCCAUGUGUUAGGAACGCAAAAUGUUGAAAAGAAGAAAC